rnacentral:rRNA from 1 species
UACGUAGGGGGCUAGCGUUGUCCGGAAUCAUUGGGCGUAAAGCGCGUGUAGGCGGCCCGGUAAGUCCGCUGUGAAAGUCGGGGGCUCAACCCUCGGAUGCCGGUGGAUACUGUCGGGCUCGAGUACGGAAGAGGCGAGUGGAAUUCCAGGUGUAGCGGUGAAAUGCGUAGAUAUCUGGAGGAACACCGGUGGCGAAGGCGGCAUCCUGGACCGGCAUUGACGCUGAGGCGCGGAAAGCCAGGGGAGCAAAGCGGG